rnacentral:tRNA from 1 species
GCCAUGGUGGCUCAGUGGUAGAAUUCUCGCCUUCCAUGCUGUAGUCCCGGGUUCGAUUCCCAGCCAAUGCA